rnacentral:rRNA from 1 species
GACCUCUCAGGAUGAACGCUAGCUACAGGCUUAACACAUGCAAGUCGAGGGGCAGCAUGGUCUUAGCUUGCUAAGGCCGAUGGCGACCGGCGCACGGGUGAGUAACACGUAUCCAACCUGCCGUCUACUCUUGGACAGCCUUCUGAAAGGAAGAUUAAUACAAGAUGGCAUCAUGAGUCCACAUGUUCACAUGAUUAAAGGUAUUCCGGUAGACGAUGGGGAUGCG